rnacentral:rRNA from 2 species
UACGGAGGGUGCGAGCGUUGUCCGGAAUCACUGGGCGUAAAGGGCGCGUAGGCGGCCCGUUAAGUGGCUGGUGAAAUCCCGCGGCUCAACUGCGGGGCUGCCGGUCAGACUGGCGAGCUAGAGCACGGUAGGGGCAGAUGGAAUUCCCGGUGUAGCGGUGGAAUGCGUAGAGAUCGGGAAGAAUACCAGUGGCGAAGGCGUUCUGCUGGGCCGUUGCUGACGCUGAGGCGCGACAGCGUGGGGAGCAAACAGG